rnacentral:piRNA from 1 species
UGGGCAGAUAGGACACAGUAGUGCAUUGGC